UCUGUGGAUCGUUACAUCAAAUGAGAGUAGUUAGUAAUAACGGGUAACCAAUGUUAUGACAAAAUCAGACGGGAUGAAGCAGAAA
rnacentral:sRNA from 12 species